UGGGGAAUAUUGGACAAUGGGCGAAAGCCUGAUCCAGCCAUGCCGCGUGUGUGAAGAAGGUCUUCGGAUUGUAAAGCACUUUAAGUUGGGAGGAAGGGCAGUAAGCGAAUACCUUGCUGUUUUGACGUUACCGACAGAAUAAGCACCGGCUAACUCUGUGCCAGCAGCCGCGGUAAUACAGAGGGUGCAAGCGUUAAUCGGAAUGCCUGGGCGUAAAGCGCGCGUAGGUGGUUCGUUAAGUUGAAUGUGAAAGCCCCGGGCUCAACCUGGGAACUGCAUCCAAAACUGGCGAGCUAGAGUAGGGCAGAGGGUGGUGGAAUUUCCUGUGUAGCGGUGAAAUGCGUAGAUAUAGGAAGGAACACCAGUGGCGAAGGCGACCACCUGGGCUCAUACUGACACUGAGGUGCGAAAGCGUGGGGAGCAAACAGG
rnacentral:rRNA from 1 species